rnacentral:misc_RNA from 1 species
AUGGCAUGAUAUGUUAAUUUUGUAAUUGAGGAUAGGCUUCAAUAAUUGAUGUUAAAGCUGGAAUCUUGAUAAUAUUGUAGCGAGGGAAGCCUCCUUCCUCCAAUAAUUUCUUCCAUUCAAGUUCAGUCCUCUCCUUCCCACCCGAUGAAUGUGCAAUCAUUAGCAGAUCAAACACCAAACCUGUGUCAUCAAAUAGGUCAUCACCCUCUGGUUUCAGAACUACAUCAACUAUGAUAACCUUCCCUGUUUUCUCAGGUAUCGCUUUCCUGCAAUUUUUCAGUAUCUUCACACAAUCUUCAUCUCCCCAAUCGUGCAUUAUCCACUUCAUGAUAAUAGCAUCAGCGUUUGGAAUGGCUUCAA